UCACACUUACAAUUAUGCAGCUUCCAAGCUUAAAUACAACCCAACGGAAAAGGGUACAAUAGCCAUCCGUUAUAAUAUAACUUAAAGUUUUCAAAAGAAAACAAUCUAGUACUACUCACGAGCACCCUUGGUCUCGAACCCUGUAAAAGAAAACCACAACGUGGGAUGAGCUACACAGCCCAGUGAGGUUCCAAGACACUCUAACAGUUCAAAUAAAUCAAGUAAGUUGGGCAUAUCAUAUGCAUGGUUCAAUGUUACACAAUGGCGUGUUAUCAUGAGGUGAUAAUCAUUGUACGAGUAAUUUGAGACAUUUAUCAUGGUAUGAGACAUUUAUCAUGAGACAGGUAUCAUGAUAUAAGUACAUUGGUCAGGUAACAGGUAUGGAGCAUAUCACAGGCAUAGUUCAGGAUUUCAUGUUGACAUUUUAGCAUGAAACAAUUAUCAUGAUACAAGGUAAACAUAUACGGUAGGAUACGGUGUUCCAGUGGAACUCUGUCGGUCAUCUGCACCUUAUGACUUCUGAUCCCCACGGUACGGUCUGGCCAUCGCCUUAUCCCUCCAGUGGUAAUACUCGAGUAUACCGAAACGGUGGCCAGGGUUCCAACCUACCCGACCGAGCCCAGUCCUGGCUCGAGUAGGUCAGUAACCGGGCGGGCCCAAGUUCAGCUUAUAGCUUACAACAUGCACAGGUAACAAGUAAUUCGACAAAAGGUAAAAUUUAUCAUUUGAGAGGUCGAGUGAGGUAAAGUACACACUCGCCUAAAAUGUGGCAGCUUCAUAUAACAUAUAUUUAUGAUAAUCAAGUAAUCAGGUGGUCAAGUAACAAGUAAGUUGGUGAUCACGUAAGCAGAUAACAAGUAAGCAAGUAACCAAUAGAUUAGAAAACGGUAAGUAAACACGGUAAACGGUUAACGGUAGUAAUUACGGUUAAUUGGUAGACAUAUGUCAUUUCAAUAGGCCGCCAUUGGCCGUUUUUCACUUUCACCACGUAAGAGUCGAGGAGAUUUACUCCAACCGACUUAUGCUUCCAUAGCAUAAUUAAUCAUUUAAACACAUCAUGUAAAUAUGCUCUCCAAACAUUUCAUAUCUAGUAUUUCAAGUAAUCACAUAAGUAUGCUCUUUAAGCAUUUCAUAUCAAUAGUUCAAAUAUACCUACUUCAGGUGUUUCAUGUCGAGUAAUUCAAGUAUAUUAUUCAAAUGCAUGAGUGUGGUAAAUACUUAAUGACCAUGGGUUAAGCAUGUCAUAGACUUAUUCCAAUUACGUAUUCCUAUAUGGAACACUCACCUAGUCAAAACAAGCGAGUAGUUCUCAAACAAGCGUUUUAGGUGUCCGCUCCGAGUUCCUCUGGGAGAUUCCCUCGAGUGCCUGAGCAAACAAUAAUCAACUACCACUCAAAAUCAUUCUAAUUAUCGAGGAAAAUUGUACACUAGUACAAUCUAAGAAAUUAACGCAGAGAGAGCAAGAAGAGUUCGUGUAACUCGAGGUUCAAAAGUGGGUUUUAAAAUACAAGACAAAUCUGAUUUCCAUCUUUGAAAUCAAAUGUAAAACGAUCAAAUGAUAUUGAAGGAAAAUGGAGGGUUUGAAACCCUUAGUUUCCUUUAAGUUAGAAAAUUCCAGAUUUAACAAGCAAUAUUUGAAAAAUCAUAUUUCACUCUCCACAAGUCCAAAAUUGGAAAACUUGGUACUGUUGGAAUCCUCUUUCAAAGUACUAAAAGUUCUUAGAAGACACUUUUCCACGAAUGUAAGUGAAAGGCACUCAAAUUUUGGCUCAAAGUUGGUAACUUGAAUUACCAAGACAGAUUUAAGUUGGUUUUUGGCCAACUUUAGAAAUUCGGCAAAAUUCACUUGUUUUGAACUAACCUUUGAAAUUUGGAAAUCAAUUAGUGUUGCAAUCCAAGAGUAUAACAAAACAAGCGGAACGAGAAACGGAGUUUCGAGCACCAAGAUAUAGUACCUCCAAGUUGCUGAAAAAGUUAAGACUGUUGGGCUAUUUUCCAGGUUUAAAACUAGAUUUGAAAUAUCAUUUGGUCAUCAAGUUGGCAUUAGAAAUACAUAAACUUGGUACACUAAAUCUUCCAUGUGUGAACAACAUUUCUACUAAGUUUCGUACAAAAACUCUCACGGUAAGGUAGUCAUUAAAACAACCAAAGUUUAUGAAGAGUUUCAAGGCUAAACUACCUUCUCACUUUUCUUUUGUUUACAAACUUUUUGUACCAUGAAAUCAGUUCCAAAUCUCUCCAUUAUUGAAACCAAGAGUUCAUAAACAUCCACUGAGCAAUUUAAAGACCAUUGACAUCCAAAUUCUAGAAAUAAAACUCUCCAAAUCAGAUUUGACCAUUUGGCUAAGAGAAAACAAAAGUUUUCCAGAUUCGAUGAGCGAAUUUUGUGACAUCAUUUGCAUAUCAAAAUGGUCUUAGAAUAUUACCAAAUUUUGUACAAUUAAACCUCCAUAUGAGGAUUACUCUUCUAUCAAAUUUCAUUUGAAAAUUCACACGGGAAGGUAGUUAACUAAACCAUCAAAGUUCAGGAAAUUUCCCAAGGUAAAACUGUCUUCUAGCUCUUCUUUCCUUUUUAAACAUUUUGUCCAAAGCAACCAACCCAAAUCUGGUUUAUUUGUAAAACAAAGUCCAAGGAACAUCUAAUAUAAAGUUUGGUAGAUGUCGGACAUCAAAUUUCCAAAACAACAAGUCCCAAAUCAUUGUAGUUAACUGUCAAAAAAUUUAUCACUGUAGCAGUUUCAAACUUUGGCCACAACUCACUCAUUCAACUUGGAAUUGGGCGUGGUUGAUGGCGUUGGAAAGCUCUCUUCUAAAGCUGAAUUUUCUCAGAAGAAACCAUUUUCAAAUUCCAUUCACAAACAGCUCGUUUUUGAGCAUCAAGAAGAAUUUCUGUCCUGUCUCCUGGAGAGCAACGAAACAGGACAGUGAUUUUCAAUCGAAUGGUGUGGCUCACUCAAGUGGAACCAGAACGUGAAUUUAGUACCAAUGGAAAGCUGGAAUGUCUAGUUUCCAAUGCCGCAAACGGCACUUGAUUUCGACAUCGGAACAAAGAGUUAUGGCCGUUACAAAAUGACUGCCUGGGCAAUACGGGAUUCAUUUUCCAGUUUUGCUAACUUUGAAAUCAAUCAUUUGACCAACCAAAUCAUGUUAUUUUUCAAUGAAAUUUUGUACACACUCACAAUAACAUGUAAACAACAUAAUCAAGCCAUUAGAACUUCAAAAUUUUGCACAAAAGUGGUCGGACAAGGCAGGGGUAAAAUCGGAAACUUUUGCCUCUUGCACCCAAUGAAAUUUCUGUCAAUUACACACCAUUAAUCCAUCAUUUUAACCACUAAACCAACAAUAUAUCCACCAUCAAUCAUCAAAUCAGCAACAACCCAAGUGUGGGAAUCCAUAGAGCCCACUUUCACAUUUUUCCAACAAUAUCAAGAUACCCAUACACAUGCAAUAGCUUAAGGAUGCAUUUCUACCAUCAUAAACCAAGCUUAAGGUGUAGGAUGAGGUUAUACCUCCUUGUUGCUUUAAACCAGAAAUUUCGGUCCUCAAGAUGCUCCAAGAAACCGUGAGAAACUCCUCCUUUUUCUAGCUAGAUGAUCUCUCCACGUGACAAGCUAAGUGUAGUUCAAAUUUGGUGUGAAUCCAUGAAGUUUUUGUGCAAGAAUUGAG
rnacentral:lncRNA from 1 species